rnacentral:sRNA from 1 species
UCCUACAAGCGUAACUCGCAAAACGACAC